rnacentral:rRNA from 1 species
GUAACAAGGUCUCCGUUGGUGAACCAGCGGAGGGAUCAUUACCGAGUUUACAACUCCCAAACCCCUGUGAACAUACCACUUGUUGCCUCGGCGGAUCAGCCCGCUCCCGGUAAAACGGGACGGCCCGCCAGAGGACCACUAAACUCUGUUUCUAUAUGUAACUUCUGAGUAAAACCAUAAAUAAAUCAAAACUUUCAACAACGGAUCUCUUGGUUCUGGCAUCGAUGAAGAACGCAGCAAAAUGCGAUAAGUAAUGUGAAUUGCAGAAUUCAGUGAAUCAUCGAAUCUUUGAACGCACAUUGCGCCCGCCAGUAUUCUGGCGGGCAUGCCUGUUCGAGCGUCAUUUCAACCCUCAAGCACAGCUUGGUGUUGGGACUCGCGUUAAUUCGCGUUCCCCAAAUUGAUUGGCGGUCACGUCGAGCUUCCAUAGCGUAGUAGUAAAACCCUCGUUACUGGUAAUCGUCGCGGCCACGCCGUUAAACCCCAACUUCUGAAUGUUGACCUCGGAUCAGGUAGGAAUACCCGCUGAACUUAAGCAUAUCA